rnacentral:lncRNA from 1 species
CCCCAAAUUACUUUUCACUACUGAAAUACCCACGCGAUACUGCGGAUAUAAAAAUAUUUUUAUAAUAAAUUUUACUUUUCUUUAAUAUUUUAUAUAGUUUUAUAAGUCUAAUUAUUAGUUAAAUAAAAGUUAUAUAAAAAUAAUUUAAUAGUUAAAUCUAUUUAAAUAAAAGUCAUUAAAAUUGGUAUACGCGCAAAGUAAAUUUAUACAAUAAUUUAUUUUAUAAAUAUUUAUAUGAAAAGGACUUGAGAUAAAUCUAUCAAAAUAAUUUUAAGAAAAUCAAUAAAAAGAAGAAAAAUAAAACUGUAGAAGAAAUUAUUUAAUAAAAUUAAUUAUAUAUAUACACAAAUACAAUAUAUUUCUAAAAUUUUUCCUGAAAUUAAAAUGCUGUAGUUUUUUUAUACAAUGAUAUUUUACGUGAUUUAAAUUGCAUCUAUUAGGUUAGAUUUUACUAUGCGAUUUAUUAUGCAUAUUAUUAGUACAAUUAAUUAAUUAGAUUAUAUAUAAUGAAUUAAUAAAAUUAUUUAAUUAAUUUCAUAGAGUUUAAAGAUUAACAAUUUUAAAUUUAAAAGUUUAAAAUUUGAAAAUAAUAUUAUAAGUUAAAAUUGAAAUUUAGACUAUAAAAUAUAAAAUAUUAAAUAUUAAAUUUUAAAAUUUGAAAGUAUCAAAAUUUUUAAUUUUGAUAUCAAAAUUUUUUAAAAUAUAUAUAUAUAUAUAUAUAUGAGUGAGGCUACUAUACUAUCGGAAGCACGGAGCCUUCCGUGCUUCCAGCUCGUUUUCGAUGUUGCGAUUUUCGAAUCGUCGAUCGGCUCCGUUAAACUUGAUCUAGAGUAUUUGAAGUACCUAGAAAAUAAAUUUAAUGAUUUUACGAUAUCAUUUGCCUAGUGAACGAAGGGGCUCAAAAUCAACAAAUUUCAAUGGCCGUAGUGAGCCGUUUGCAAAUUUAACGGUGUAGAAAUAUCCAAAUCACGUGAAAUUUUGAUAGAAAAUUCUUUAUACUAUAUAAAACAAGAUCAAUAUUUUUGAUUUAAAAUUUUAAUGUCAUAUUAUUAUAUUUUGUAAGAUUUUUAUUUUCAGCCGUUGAUUUUGAGCCCCUUCGUUCACUAGACAAAUGAUAUCGUAAAAUCAUAAAAUUUAUUUUCUAGGUACUUCAAAUACUCUAGAUCAAGUUUAACGGAGCCGAUCGACGAUUCGAAAGUCGCAACAUCGAAAACGAGCUGGAAGCACGGAAGGCUCCGUGCUUCCGAUAGCAUAGUAGCCUCACUCUAUAUA